rnacentral:rRNA from 1 species
AUUGAACGCUGGCGGCAUGCCUUACACAUGCAAGUCGAACGGCAGCAUGGAGAGCUUGCUCUCUGAUGGCGAGUGGCGAACGGGUGAGUAAUGCAUCGGAACGUACCGUGUAAUGGGGGAUAACGUAGCGAAAGUUACGCUAAUACCGCAUACGACCUGCGGGUGAAAGCAGGGGAUCGCAAGACCUUGCGUUAUACGAGCGGCCGAUGUCAGAUUAGCUAGUUGGUGAGGUAAAGGCUCACCAAGGCGACGAUCUUUAGCGGGUCUGAGAGGAUGAUCCGCCACACUGGGACUGAGACACGGCCCAGACUCCUACGGGAGGCAGCAGUGGGGAAUUUUGGACAAUGGGGGCAACCCUGAUCCAGCCAUGCCGCGUGAGUGAAGAAGGCCUUCGGGUUGUAAAGCUCUUUCGGCCGGGAAGAAAUCGCACAGGCUAAUACUCUGUGUGGAUGACGGUACCGGCAUAAGAAGCACCGGCUAACUACAUGCCAGCCGCCGCAGUAA